rnacentral:rRNA from 1 species
UACGGGGGGGGCAAGCGUUGUUCGGAAUUACUGGGCGUAAAGGGCUUGUAGGUGGCCAACUAAGUCAGACGUGAAAUCCCUCGGCUUAACCGGGGAACUGCGUCUGAUACUGGAUGGCUUGAGUGUGGGAGAGGGAUGCGGAAUUCCAGGUGUAGCGGUGAAAUGCGUAGAUAUCAGGAGGAACACCGAUGGCGAAGGCAGGUCUCUGGGCUGACACUGACGCUCAUGCACGAAAGCGUGGGGAGCAAACAGG